AUUGAAUGCUGGCGGCAGGCCUAACACAUGCAAGUCGAGCGGAUGAAGGGAGCUUGCUCCUGGAUUCAGCGGCGGACGGGUGAGUAAUGCCUAGGAAUCUGCCUGGUAGUGGGGGAUAACGUCCGGAAACGGGCGCUAAUACCGCAUACGUCCUGAGGGAGAAAGUGGGGGAUCUUCGGACCUCACGCUAUCAGAUGAGCCUAGGUCGGAUUAGCUAGUUGGUGGGGUAAAGGCCUACCAAGGCGACGAUCCGUAACUGGUCUGAGAGGAUGAUCAGUCACACUGGAACUGAGACACGGUCCAGACUCCUACGGGAGGCAGCAGCGGGGAAUAUUGGACAAUGGGCGAAAGCCUGAUCCAGCCAUGCCGCGUGUGUGAAGAAGGUCUUCGGAUUGUAAAGCACUUUAAGUUGGGAGGAAGGGCAGUAAGUUAAUACCUUGCUGUUUUGACGUUACCAACAGAAUAAGCACCGGCUAACUUCGUG
rnacentral:rRNA from 1 species